rnacentral:rRNA from 1 species
GGGGGCCCGCACAAGCGGCGGAGCAUGCGGAUUAAUUCGAUGCAACGCGAAGAACCUUACCAAGGCUUGACAUGGGCCGGACCGGGCUGGAAACAGUCCUUCCCCUUUGGGGCCGGUUCACAGGUGGUGCAUGGUUGUCGUCAGCUCGUGUCGUGAGAUGUUGGGUUAAGUCCCGCAACGAGCGCAACCCUCGUCCUAUGUUGCCAGCACGUAAUGGUGGGAACUCAUGGGAUACUGCCGGGGUCAACUCGGAGGAAGGUGGGGACGACGUCAAAUCAUCAUGCCCCUUAUGUCUUGGGCUUCACGCAUGCUACAAUGGCCGGUACAAAGGGUUGCGAUACUGUGAGGUGGAGCUAAUCCCAAAAAGCCGGUCUCAGUUCGGAUUGGGGUCUGCAACUCGACCCCAUGAAGUCGGAGUCGCUAGUAAUCGCAGAUCAGCAACGCUGCGGUGAAUACGUUCCCGGGCCUUGUACACACCGCCCGUCAAGUCAUGAAAGUCGGUAACACCCGAAGCCGGUGGCCUAACCCCUUGUGGGAGGGAGCUGUCGAAGGUGGGACUGGCGAUUGGGACCUAA